UACGUAGGUGGCAAGCGUUAUCCGGAUUUAUUGGGCGUAAAGGGAACGCAGGCGGUCUUUUAAGUCUGAUGUGAAAGCCUUCGGCUUAAUCGGAGUAGUGCAUUGGAAACUGGGAGACUUGAGUGCAGAAGAGGAGAGUGGAACUCCAUGUGUAGCGGUGAAAUGCGUAGAUAUAUGGAAGAACACCAGUGGCGAAAGCGGCUCUCUGGUCUGUAACUGGCGCUGAGGUUCGAAAGCGUGGGUAGCAAACAGG
rnacentral:rRNA from 1 species